rnacentral:rRNA from 1 species
CAAUAGCGUAUAUUAAAGUUGUUGCGGUUAAAAAGCUCGUAGUUGGAUUUCUGCUGAGAACGACCGGUCCGCCCUUUGGGUGUGUAUCUGGCUCUUUCUUGGCAUCUUCUUGGUGAACGUUGCUGCACUUGACUGUGUGGAGCGCUACCCAGGACUUUUACUUUGAGGAAAUUAGAGUGUUUCAAGCAGGCAUACGCCUUGAAUACAUUAGCAUGGAAUAAUAAGAUAGGACCUCGGUUCUAUUUUGUUGGUUUCUAGAGCUGAGGUAAUGAUUAAUAGGGAUAGUUGGGGGCAUUCGUAUUUAACUGUCAGAGGUGAAGUUCUUGGAUUUGUUAAAGACGGACUACUGCGAAAGCAUUUGCCAAGGAUGUUUUCAUUGA